rnacentral:tRNA from 1 species
GGGGUGUUAAGGGGCGGUUUCUGCCUUUUAAGCAGCGGGUCGAGGGUUCAAUUCCCUCCCGGCCCUCCA